rnacentral:rRNA from 1 species
CUACGGGCGGCAGCAGUCGAGAAUCUUCCGCAAUGGGCGCAAGCCUGACGGAGCAAUGCCGCGUGAGGGAUGACGGCCCUAGGGUUGUAAACCUCUGUCAGAAGGGACGAAGAACGUGACGGUACCUUCAGAGGAAGCCAUGGCUAACUACGUGCCAGCAGCCGCGGUAAUACGUAGAUGGCGAGCGUUAUUCGGAUUUACUGGGCGUAAAGGGUCCGUAGGGGGUCUGCCAAGUCUGAUGUGAAAUCCUGCGGCUCAACCGCGGAACUGCAUUGGAAACUGGCGGACUAGAGUGUGCGAGGGGUGAGCGGAAUUCCUGGUGUAGCGGUGGAAUGCGUAGAUAUCAGGAAGAACACCGAUGGCGAAGGCGGCUCACUGGCGCAUCACUGACCCUGAGGGACGAAAGCGUGGGUAGCAAACAGGAUUAGAUACCCGUGUAGUC